CCGGCCUAGAAACGAAAUUAUAACGCUAUCAUUUGUUAUUUGUCACCGAGAUUCUGACUCGCUUCAACACGCAUACGUCAUGUUAAUUAAGUUCAUUUAAAUAAUUUUCUUGAAAAAUAAGGAAAUUUCGUGGACAAACUAAGGAAUUCCAAAAUUUGAUUGUGACUGCUACUUGAGAACAAAUGUGACAUUCUUGUACGCUUCCUGCUUGAACGCAAAUUAAAUGGCAGUAAUCUGUUCGAGCAGUUGAUUUCAUUAUCGAAAGAUGGAUUUAAAUGUUUACAUCCAGACGAUCGUUUUGUGCGUCCUUAACAUACUAAAUACUUGCGCAGGAGUUGUUUUAAACCUAUUGGUGGUCGUCAGUUUUUGGAAAUCCUCUCCAGAUCUUCGAAAGAAAUUAUGCUAUUUCAUGAUCAUGGUGUUGUCGUGCUUCGACUUCCUUGUGGUCAUAACAAAUAUGCCAGUGGUGAUCGUUCAUCUAAUCUUAUGGUUAGAUGAAAAUUAUGAUGCACUAACUGUGUCACGAACUUAUGAGAAACUUUCGAGUUUGUUCCAUUGCUUUUCUAUGGUUGCACUUCUGGUUCUGAGCUUUGAACGAUAUCUGGGAGCAUACUAUCCUUUCUUUCAUCGAACAUCAGUCAACAGACGCAGACUGGUAACACUCCUCGCUGUAUUGUUGAUUGUACCAACUGUCAUAAUAUCAAUUUCUGUGAACGACUUGGUAAUUUCCUUUUCAGUGGCGUUAAUAAUUUUCCUUGGCAUUGCAUUUCCACCAUUUGUGUUCAUCAACUACAGAUUGUUUAAGAUUUCCAGAAAAAUGCGACGCGACAACGCCGCAUCAUCCGAGGCAACCGUGCAUGUUAAUAUAAAGAAGAUUAAUACCUGUUUGUUGGCAGUUGCCUGCCUGGCGUUGUACAUUCCAACGUUCGUCUUCAUUGUGGUUGAUCUACUUGAGAAAUCGACGGCAGAACACGAGUCGGAAAAAUCGAGGAUGGCUAGAUUUUGGAAUGGCACGGUAGCUUCUAUGAAUGCUACAUUCAACUGUUUGAUCUUUUUCUGGAAGAAUGACGUUUUACGCAGAGAGGGGAAAAAGGUAUUGAAGACUUUGAAAAACCGUCUUUUCCCAUGCUAAAGUUGGCCCAGCUUAAAUUAUCCAUGUUUGUCGGACACGUAUAACACGUCUGUCGUUUUAUAGAUUAAGGAUUGAAAAUCAGCCAAAUGUGGCGAGUAUGUGGCGAGUAUAUUGCAUAUAUUUUAUUACAGCAACCGCUGAGUAUUUUUAUAAGCCUGUCCCUAUAUUUAGUCUAGCUGGCUUGAUACAUCUGAUUCAUAUAAGUCUGGAAAAAGGAUAAAUGCAUGGGAAACAUUUGUGGGCUUACCAACAAGAUUGAUGAAUUUUGUUUCUUUUAUUUGUUCUUCUAGAUUAUUACAAAAUUAAAUACGUUUUGUCUAACGUUUCGUUUUCCUACACGAAAACUAUUUCCAAA
rnacentral:lncRNA from 1 species